rnacentral:piRNA from 1 species
UGAUGAUAUUGGUUUUUUUAAUCUAUUUGC